GUGGAAAGUGCUGGUAAGACGGCGGCUCACGACAGAGGCAACUAUAAGGCGCGUUACGAUUAUGAGGGUGUUUAACGCGCGUUCACUCGACUCGAAUUAUUCUCACGAGGUCGAUAAACCUUCCUUGAGAAUGGUUGGUUUAAUUAAAAGAGCCACGCAUGCGGGAUCGACCUAAAAACGAUCGACAUACUUGGACAUUUUGGACGACGGAUAAAUAUGCAAACUGGGCACAUAGAGGAGGUAAUUAGUCGAUGGUCCAUCAGUCACUCUGGCACAUAAGAGCCGUGCAUCCCUGACGCAUCGUUCCGAAGCAAAAAAGUGUUGAUCCUUUCCUUGAGAGCAGCAACGACCCGCAGGAUGCAUUAAGGAACUAAUGAAACGUCGGAUCGGAACGUAUCCUCCUUGAGAGAAUCUUCUGGGAGGAGGUUUCUGGAGAGAAGGAUGCCGAGUGUGACGAUCUCUGUCGAUAGUUAAUCGCCUUGCUCGAGGUAGAUCGAUUAUUCAAAUUCAUUGUCUCGAUUCGGCCUUUUAUAGGUGGUAAUUGGCGUUUCAACCUGAGAUGCACCUGAAAAUAAAAAAAGAAUUAGUACGAAAAAAAAAAUUAAAAAUU